rnacentral:rRNA from 1 species
GGGGGGGGGGGGGGGGGGGGGUGGGGGGGGGGGGGCGGGGGGGCGGGGGGGGAGGGUGCUCCGCGGGCGGUAGCGGCGGACGGGUGAGGAGCGCGUGGAGGCCCUACCUAUAAGACGGGGAGAACUUCGGGAAGCCGGAGCUAGUCCCGGAUGAUAUCUUGAACCGCAUGGUGCAAUGGUGACAGACGGUUUUGCUGUCACUUCUAGCUGGCUCCGCGCCGCAUUAGCAAGGUGGUAAGGUAACGGCUGACCAAGGGAACGAUGCGUAGUCGACCUGAGAGGGUGAUGGGCCAAACGGGAACUGAGACACGGUCCAGAGUACUACGUGAGGCAGCAGUAGGGAAGCUUCCGCAAUGGGCGAAAGCCUGACGGAGCAACGCCGCGUGAGUGAUGAAGGUCUUCGGAUCGUAAAACUCUGUUAUUAGGGAAGAACAAAUGUGUAAGUAACUAUGCACGUCUUGACGGUAACGAAUCAGAAAGCAACGGCUAACUACGU